rnacentral:misc_RNA from 1 species
GAAAUGCGAUAAGUAGUGUGAAUUGCAGAAUUCAGUGAAUCAUCGAAUCUUUGAACGCACAUUGCGCCCUUUGGUAUUCCAAAGGGCAUGCCUGUUCGAGCGUCAUUUGUACCCUCAAGCUUUGCUUGGUGUUGGGCGUCUUGUCUCCCUUUGCGGGGAGACUCGCCUUAAAGUCAUUGGCAGCCGGCCUACUGGUUUCGGAGCGCAGCACAAGUCGCGCUCUCUUCCAGCCCCAAGGUCUAGCAUCCACCAAGCCUUUUUUUCAACUUUUGACCUCGGAUCAGGUAGGGAUACCCGCUGAACUUAAGC